UACGGAGGAUCCGAGCGUUAUCCGGAAUCAUUGGGUUUAAAGGGUCCGUAGGCGGGUUAGUAAGUCAGUGGUGAAAUCCGGCAGCUUAACUGUCGAAUUGCCGUUGAUACUGCUAAUCUUGAAUUACUGUGAAGUGGUUAGAAUAUGUAGUGUAGCGGUGAAAUGCUUAGAUAUUACAUGGAAUACCAAUUGCGAAGGCAGAUCACUAACAGUAUAUUGACGCUGAUGGACGAAAGCGUGGGGAGCAAACAGGAUUAGAUACCCG
rnacentral:rRNA from 1 species